rnacentral:rRNA from 1 species
ACGAACGCUGGCGGCGUGGAUAAGACAUGCAAGUCGAACGAGAGAAUUGCUAGCUUGCUAAUAAUUCUCUAGUGGCGCACGGGUGAGUAACACGUGAGUAACCUGCCCCCGAGAGCGGGAUAGCCCUGGGAAACUGGGAUUAAUACCGCAUAGUAUCGAAAGAUUAAAGCAGCAAUGCGCUUGGGGAUGGGCUCGCGGCCUAUUAGUUAGUUGGUGAGGUAACGGCUCACCAAGGCGAUGACGGGUAGCCGGUCUGAGAGGAUGUCCGGCCACACUGGAACUGAGACACGGUCCAGACACCUACGGGUGGCAGCAGUCGAGAAUCAUUCACAAUGGGGGAAACCCUGAUGGUGCGACGCCGCGUGGGGGAAUGAAGGUCUUCGGAUUGUAAACCCCUGUCAUGUGGGAGCAAAUUAAAAAGAUAGUACCACAAGAGGAAGAGACGGCUAACUCUGUGCCAGCAGCCGCGGUAAUACAGAGGUCUCAAGCGUUGUUCGGAAUCACUGGGCGUAAAGCGUGCGUAGGCUGUUUCGUAAGUCGUGUGUGAAAGGCGCGGGCUCAACCCGCGGACGGCACAUGAUACUGCGAGACUAGAGUAAUGGAGGGGGAACCGGAAUUCUCGGUGUAGCAGUGAAAUGCGUAGAUAUCGAGAGGAACACUCGUGGCGAAGGCGGGUUCCUGGACAUUAACUGACGCUGAGGCACGAAGGCCAGGGGAGCGAAAGGGAUUAGAUACCCCUGUAGUCCUGGCAGUAAACGGUGCACGCUUGGUGUGCGGGGAAUCGACCCCCUGCGUGCCGGAGCUAACGCGUUAAGCGUGCCGCCUGGGGAGUACGGUCGCAAGAUUAAAACUCAAAGAAAUUGACGGGGACCCGCACAAGCGGUGGAGUAUGUGGCUUAAUUCGAUGCAACGCGAAGAACCUUACCUGGGCUUGACAUGUAAUGAACAACAUGUGAAAGCAUGCGACUCUUCGGAGGCGUUACACAGGUGCUGCAUGGCCGUCGUCAGCUCGUGUCGUGAGAUGUUUGGUUAAGUCCAGCAACGAGCGCAACCCCUGUUGCCAGUUACCAGCACGUGAAGGUGGGGACUCUGGCGAGACUGCCCAGAUCAACUGGGAGGAAGGUGGGGACGACGUCAGGUCAGUAUGGCCCUUAUGCCCAGGGCUGCACACGUACUACAAUGCCCAGUACAGAGGGGGCCGAAGCCGCGAGGCGGAGGAAAUCCUAAAAACUGGGCCCAGUUCGGACUGUAGGCUGCAACCCGCCUACACGAAGCCGGAAUCGCUAGUAAUGGCGCAUCAGCUACGGCGCCGUGAAUACGUUCCCGGGUCUUGUACACACCGCCCGUCACACCAUGAGAGUUGGAAAUACCCGAAGCCUGUGAGCUAACCUAUGAGGCAGCAGUCGAAGGUAGAGCCAAUGAUUGGGGUG